rnacentral:rRNA from 1 species
UUUAGAAAGCGUUAAAGCUCCAUUAAACUUCUACUCUUAAUACCAAAAUUUUUGUUAAUCCCUUUAUUUCUAUUGAAUGAUUCUAUACUCCUAUAGAAGACCUAAUGCUAAAACUAGUAACAAGAAAUUGUAUUUCUCUAAAACACAAGUAUAUGUCAAAACGGACAAACCAUUGAUAAUUAACGCCAAUGAGCCACAUAUAGCAACCACACAAGAAAACACUACAUAUUUAAACGUUAAUCUUACACAAGUGUGUUUGUAGAAAGAUUAAAAAAAAGGGAAGGAACUCGGCAAACUUUAACCCCGCCUGUUUACCAAAAACAUCGCCUCUUGAUAAAACAUAAGAGGUCCAGCCUGCCCAGUGACACAAUUAAACGGCCGCGGUACUCUGACCGUGCGAAGGUAGCAUAAUCACUUGUUCUCUAAAUAAGGACUUGUAUCAACGGCAUCACGAGGGUUAUACUGUCUCCCCUUUUUAAUCAGUGAAACUGACUUCCCCGUGAAGAGGCGGGGAUAGACCUACAAGACGAGAAGACCCCAUGGAGCUUUAAACCCAAUAGCACUCUCCAACCAAAUAGACCCACUAAACUUAAAGUUUCUGCUUAUUGGUUUUAGGUUGGGGUGACCACGGAGUAAAACUAAACCUCCAUGACGAAUAGAUUUCAUCCUAAUCUCAGGGCCACUGCCCUAAGAAUCAAGAAUUUGACGUAAAAUGAUCCGAUAACUCGAUCAACGAACCAAGUUACCCUGGGGAUAACAGCGCAAUCCAUUUCAAGAGCCCCUAUCGACAAAUGGGUUUACGACCUCGAUGUUGGAUCAGGGUAUCCCAGUGGUGCAGCCGCUACUAAAGGUUUGUUUGUUCAACAAUUAAA